UACAGAGGGGGCAAGCGUUGUUCGGAAUUACUGGGCGUAAAGGGCGCGUAGGCGGCCUGUUAAGUCGAACGUGAAAUCCCCGGGCUCAACCCGGGAACUGCGUCCGAUACUGGCAGGCUUGAAUCCGGGAGAGGGAUGCGGAAUCCAGGUGUAGCGGUGAAAUGCGCAGAUAUCGAGGAGGAACACCGGUGGCGAAGGCGGGUCUCUGGGCCGAUGACUGACGCUGAGGAGCGAAAGCGUGGGGAGCGAACAGG
rnacentral:rRNA from 1 species